rnacentral:rRNA from 1 species
UACGUAGGGGGCAAGCGUUGUCCGGAAUCAUUGGGCGUAAAGAGCGUGUAGGCGGUCCGUUAAGUCGGCUGUGAAAGUCCAAGGCUCAACCUUGGGAUGCCGGUCGAUACUGCCGGGCUAGAGUCCGGAAGAGGCGAGUGACGACUCGGUGUAGCGGUGGAAUGCGCAGAUAUCAGGAGGAACACCGGUGGCGAAGGCGGGUCUCUGGGCAGUAACUGACGCUGAGGAGCGAAAGCGUGGGGAGCGAACAGG